rnacentral:rRNA from 1 species
AUGGCGACCGGCGCACGGGUGAGUAACACGUAUCCAACCUGCCGAUGACUCGGGGAUAGCCUUUCGAAAGAAAGAUUAAUACCCGAUGGCAUAGUUCUUCCGCAUGGUAGAACUAUUAAAGAAUUUCGGUCAUCGAUGGGGAUGCGUUCCAUUAGCUAGUCGGCGGGGUAACGGCCCACCGAGGCGACGAUGCGUAGGGGUUCUGAGAGGAAGGUCCCCCACACUGGUACUGAGACACGGACCAGACUCCUACGGGAGGCAGCAG